rnacentral:rRNA from 1 species
GAUCAGCUCAGAUUGAACGCUGGCGGCAUGCCUUACACAUGCAAGUCGAACGGCAGCAUGGAGAGCUUGCUCUCUGAUGGCGAGUGGCGAACGGGUGAGUAAUACAUCGGAACGUGUCCGUUUGUGGGGACGAACCGUCCGAAAGGAUGGCUAAUACCGCAUAAGACCUGAGGGUGAAAGCCGGGACCGCAAGGCCCGGCGCAGACGGAGCGGCCGAUGAUUGAUUAGCUAGG